CUGUAACGAGUUCUGAUUGAGAAAUCACCUACAUUGCAACUAAGAACCCCCGAUUUUGCUGAUUAAGAACCGAUUCAGAAGGUUUCCUUCUGAUUCAGAGCAGCUUCAGUAGACAACAACAUUCCGACGGAGGUCUGCAACCAGACCAAACCAGAAAAAUGAAAGUAGUUGCUCAAUAUCAGGCACAGCAUUUCAAGCAAGCGGACACAAACUUGGCUAGUUCUAAGACAUCAGUCUGGUUCAUGAAGUCUCGAAGCCUCGUUGCACCAUUAUCAGGCAAUGCAGAAAACAGAUGCUGGAACUGAGUGCGCAAGCCUGCCAGAUCCUCAGAAGGGCAGUCCAAAAUAAUGUGCUCUUCGUCUUGUACAGUGUGCCAAUCACAUUUACUGCGAAUCUUGAGCUCGUAUGAACGUCUAUUCCCUUGAUGCCUCUGGGUUUCCACCCGAAAAUUGUGACUGGACAGUCGUAGGCACGAAAUGCUGCGCAAUAAAUUGUGAGAAAUGUUUUUCCGCAAAUAGAUAGGUAACAGAGGCUUUUUGUUCCUCUUUCUUUCAUCCCAUCAACCUGGCACAGUGCCCAAUGGAAUGCCAAAGUGUGUGUGAUAAGUCCUCAUGAUUCUACUGGAAGAGUGUGCCUCUUGUGGGGUCAGAUUGUCCAGACUUCUCCAUUCCUGAAUGAUUUGCUCGCGGAGUACAGUCUCAAAGUUAUUCAUAUUAACUCUGGCCCCGGAGCGUACAGCAGCAGCAAAUUGCUGGGCAUUGGGCACGUCAUUCAGAGCUGUAAUAGCCUGGUAGGUCCAGCUGCCUUCCCUGUCAGCAAAACGCAUGUCUGCC
rnacentral:lncRNA from 1 species